CAUAAACAAAAACUUCAAUAUUCUUUUAUGUUAGUUUCAACGCCUUAUUCUACAACCUUAUAUGAAUGAUCUCAUAAAAUCAUGUUUCAAAUAACGACUAAAAUGUUUUCCUUGUCGACUUUCGUAUAGUUGCAUUUGUUUACAUUAUUAGAACCUUGGAUAUCUGAGGCAAUCCCGGAAGCUAUGCUUAUAUCAGUCAGAGAAAUAUCUAAUGAACUGGAAGCAGAGGCAGAUAUAAUGAAGGGGGCGUGCUCACCCUUGAAGAAACCUUCCAAUCUGGAAGUGAUGUAAGAAGAAAUGCCAAAUGGGAAUACUUAUCAAUAUUUAUACUCAGCCCAGUUUCAUCAUAAUUCUGGGUAUUAUUGUUUUUCAGUAAUGUUCAAUUUUAAAUCGAACGAUCAAAUAAC